GUUUUUCAUCUUCAUCUAGAAAUAAACAUGUUUAUGAAACAUAGCCACUGGCUGGUGAUUGGUGAGCCUAUUUUGGCGGACUGAAGUUGAUUGGUUACAUUUGAAAGAGUCCGGUCUCGACAUCACAGCUGGUGCUGAUGAUGACUCACUGUUUGCCCUCCGAGGAUCUGGCAGAAUGACAGAAGAUGGUGGUUGAGGGUUUUCAUUAAAUUACUCUCACAAAAGUUUGUAACAGAACUAGAUAAAACCAGUUAACACCCCACUAGCAUUGCUAUCUCCAUCACCACCGGCACCAUCAAAACCACCACGACCACCUGCUCUGUAUUACCACCACCCUUGCAUCAAAAUCACAAGCAACUUCACAACCAUGAUUAUCGUCAUCACCACCACCGCUAUCAGCUCCAACUCCGUCCCUAACAUCCAUCCCCGCCAUCUCCUGCAUCGGCACCACCAUCCCCGCCAUUAACACCACCAGCGUCCCUUUCAUCAUCACCCACAUCGCCACCUCCAUCAUCACCAUUUAACAGUAUCUGUGUGCGCGUGUCAUAAUCCCCGAAGCUGUUUUACCCAAUCUUUCCUCCUUCGAUGUCUUCCAAGUCGCACCUUCCUCACAGUGGUGUCCGUCUUCCCAGGGCUCUAUCUGUGUGUCUUUUGCUCUCUCUCUCUUCUCCAUCCAUCCCUCCUAAUUGACCCAGGGCCCGGAGGCACGAUGGAGCAUAUCCCUAAACCAGUCGCCAGCAGGUGGCCAGCCUUUACACUUUAAUUGGCCUUCAUUAUAAAUAUGGCAUGCCACUGGUGGGAGGCAACAAAGGGAACAGCGAUGAAUGCAUUUACCUCGCUGCUUUCCUCUGUUUGUUUGAAUGGAACACGGGUGAUUAUGAGAAGAUCGGAGAUCAUGGGGUCGGUUUUGGUCGCCAGUGUAGCGGCGCAGCGGGAGAGGUACCUCCGGUCAUUCGUCGUCUUGUGUACCGGUCUUGAAUUGUUUUCCACUAUAGGAAGGCGUCACAUGCACACUGACCAGGCUCCUGAUUACAGGGAGAGUGGGAAACUACUUAUUCAAUUUGAUGCAUCACUUGCGUGUAAUUCGCUGUAAGAGAUUUGUCAUGUUUGUUGCAAAAGCUGAGAUGUGUGUUAAACAUUGCGAUCUCCAAAAUCAACAUUGACACUUUUCCAAAGACAGAUUUUGUUUUGCUUAAACAGAAAAACGAGUCUUAAAAAAAGUGGCGAACUGCGUGUGAUCUUUCCAUCUUUCUUCCCCACACGUUAUCAAAUAAAAUGUAAAUUGUAGUUUUGAGGCAUAUAGGGUAUUACGGUAUAAAAAGCCAUUAUAUUCCAGUGACCGAAUCCUGCACGGACGGUUAAUUCUGGCCCUGGACUAACGAGCCAAACCGUAAUUGCAUCACUACAACUUCACACCCGUUGACCUUCGGUGGAGUAUAUAAAACCGGCACCUUCUGUUAUUCGGUCGGAUAGUCUAGAAAGCAUCCGUUCGAUAGGAUCGGAGCCUUUUGACACGUCCAUGGGUGGUAGCAGAUGGGUUCUUGGACAGGCUAUACGUCCACUCCUUGGAUUGACAAUGAAUUGGAGGAAUCCUGGAGGAGCGGAGAUGAGAAGAAUGCAUCACGUACACGGCACUGACCGCUGAUAUUGACCCCCAUUCUCCUUUGUGUGUGUGUGUGUGUGUGUGUGUGUAUAAAGAUAAGAGAAGAAGAAUCAAUCCAUCAGUCUGCCUGUCUAUAAUAUGAAAGCCACGGUGUGACGUAUGUAGGACAUAUAAACCUAGGGUUUGUAUAGCAAACCAUUUGUAUGUAUACGUUGCAUUUUGUAUAUAGUUCAUAUCUAUAAUUUUACUGAAUUUAUGUCCACUUCAGCAGUUCGUCAGUGGCUUUGCAACAAAAUCCUGUUUGCGUUCAUGAGCCUUUAGAUUUGUGACUUGAGGCAUGUGACCAGGCCUAUGCAUGGAUGCAAGAGCAGG
ensembl:lncRNA